rnacentral:rRNA from 1 species
UACGUAGGGUGCGAGCGUUGUCCGGAAUUACUGGGCGUAAAGAGCUCGUAGGUGGUUUGUCGCGUUGUUCGUGAAAACUCACAGCCUCAACUGUGGGCGUGCGGGCGAUACGGGCAGACUGGAGUACUGCAGGGGAGACUGGAAUUCCUGGUGUAGCGGUGGAAUGCGCAGAUAUCAGGAGGAACACCGGUGGCGAAGGCGGGUCUCUGGGCAGUAACUGACGCUGGAGGAGCGAAAGCGUGGGGAGCGAACAGG